rnacentral:snoRNA from 1 species
AGACCAUGAUGAGGGCAACUUCUUAGUAAGUCCUUGUAUCUCUCCCAAGCCUUGUACAAUGAUUCAAAAUCAAACUGUGUGAAUGAUGCAAUAUCAUUCCUCAUUUU